UCAUCGUCCUGUUAAAACUAAAUUCAAUUUGCCAUGAAUUAUGUGAAAUAACAUAAAUGCUCCUUUGAUAUAUAUACUUUUCAUCCUUCUAUUGUAAGGAGGGAAAGGUGACGCUGCCAUUCUUUCUUAGUUUCCGCGGAAAUGAGAGCAACAGAAAACAAUUCAAUGGACUUUAUAAUCUCCUCUCUCAAACGGCUUUAAACAAGUCCCUUUGGCAG
rnacentral:misc_RNA from 1 species